rnacentral:rRNA from 1 species
AAUGAACGUUGGCGGCGUGGAUUAGGCAUGCAAGUCGAGCGGGUAUAGCAAUAUAUCAGCGGCGAAAGGGAGAGUAACGCGUAGCUACGUGCCCCAGAGACCGGAAUAGCCAGCCGAAAGGCUGGGUAAUGCCGGAUGAUGUCCCUGGACUAAAGGGUGUGAUUCCGCUUUGGGAGCGGGCUGCGUUGUACUAGCUUGUUGGUAGGGUAAUGGCCUACCAAGGCGAUGAUGCAUACCGGGCGUGAGAGCGUGGCCCGGCUCACUGGGACUGAGACACUGCCCAGACACCUACGGGAGGCAG